rnacentral:rRNA from 1 species
GCUGCAGGAAUUCCCAAUACUAUCGAUACGGGUUGUGGGAGCAAGAGCCCGGAGAUGGAUUCUGAGACACGAAUCCAGGCCCUACGGGGCGCAGCAGGCGCGAAAACUUUACAAUGCAGGAAACUGUGAUAAGGGAACCCCGAGUGCCCGUAUGGACGGGCUGUUCAGGUGCUUAAAAACCACCUGGAGAAAGGGCCGGGCAAGACCGGUGCCAGCCGCCGCGGUAAUACCGGCGGCUCGAGUGGUGGCCACUAUUACUGGGCUUAAAGCGUCCGUAGCUUGGUCGUUAAGCCUCUGGGGAAAUCUUCCGGCUCAACCGGAAGGCGUCUCAGGGGAACUGGCGACCUAGGGAUCGGGAGAGGUGAGAGGUACUCUGGGGGUAGGAGUGAAAUCCUGUAAUCCUCAGGGGACCACCUGUGGCGAAGGCGUCUCACCAGAACGACUCCGACAGUGAGGGACGAAAGCUGGGGGAGCAAACCGGAUUAGAUACCCGGGUAGUCCCAGCCGUAAA